rnacentral:rRNA from 1 species
UACGUAGGGUGCAAGCGUUGUCCGGAAUUAUUGGGCGUAAAGAGCUCGUAGGCGGUCUGUCGCGUCUGCUGUGAAAACCUAGGGCUUAACUCUGGGCGUGCAGUGGGUACGGGCAGACUAGAGUGCGGUAGGGGAGACUGGAAUUCCUGGUGUAGCGGUGAAAUGCGCAGAUAUCAGGAGGAACACCGGUGGCGAAGGCGGGUCUCUGGGCCGUAACUGACGCUGAGGAGCGAAAAGCUGGGGGAGCAACAGG